rnacentral:rRNA from 1 species
AGAUUGAACGCUGGCGGCAUGCCUUACACAUGCAAGUCGAACGGCAGCACGGGAGCAAUCCUGGUGGCGAGUGGCGAACGGGUGAGUAAUAUAUCGGAACGUGCCCAGUAAUGGGGGAUAGCCCGGCGAAAGCCGGAUUAAUACCGCAUACGACCUACGGUGAAAGCGGGGGAUCGCAAGACCUCGCGUUAUUGGAGCGGCCGAUAUCAGAUUAGCUUGUUGGCGGGUAAAAGCCCGACCAAGGCAACGAUCUGUAGCUGGUCUGAGAGGACGACCAGCCACACGUGGGACUGACGACACCGGCCCAGACCUACCGUACGGGACGCGAGCAGGUAGGGUAAUUUUGGAACAGU